rnacentral:lncRNA from 1 species
AGCAGUUGUGGAAAACUGCUUUAAAUGUCAUAGAGCACUCAGAAGGAAUUCAUAAAUGACCUCAUAAAGAAGUCCACUGUGGUUUCCCUGCAGAGGUGGGAAUAGAAUCAGAGUGCUAAGGAUUGAGGGAUUAAGAGGAGGUGAUUGUAUUAUUCCUCUUUUCAGAUAAUGGAGAGAGAGAAGAGAACAGCAGUAGCCGUUGCCAGAAAUAUUGAGCAAGGCGGAUUUAUUAGAUGAAGAUAUCAAAAUACUUUCCAUUGAGGAAACAGGUUGGAGGUGGGAGGCUGUAACCAUGCUUGAUUUUGUACCACCCUAACCUUUGCUUGAUCCAGGUUCCAGUCCAAUAUGCACCAUUCAGCCUGGUUGCAGCAUGUUAAGCAGCCCUGGAGGCAGCAGAUGAGGGAUCCUAUGAAGCAACUUUCAGACAUUCAGAACCAAGACAAAAAAAAAGAGAAUUAAAGUAAAAUAUGAUGUACCCAGGAGUUACAUCAGUGAACCAAAUACAGCCUCAAAUUUCGAUCUGUGCUUCACAGCAGCCAGCAAAAAGAACAAAACAUAUUUUGUUAGUUCAUAUAAAUAAAUAAAUUAAAAAUGCAUGAAUAAAUAAAUAAAGCAAACCAGUUUCUCGAUUCUGAAAUAUUUUCUGGAAGUGAGAACUGAAAGGAAUUUCCACCAUGGACCCACAAGCAGUUGUUGGUGGCAUAUAUAAUGAGUGCUGGGUGUUAAGGAAGCAAUGGUGAAGGAGAGACACCCUCCCGACCCUCAUGGUGCUUGCAGCCUAGUGGAGCUAUGAAAAGAUAGGCAAGUGAGUCCUAUGAUUGGAGAAGUAAUGAGAAGUAAUGAGAAGCGUCUUCUAAGCAUAGGGGUAAAGACUGCAAAGACCCUGAAGGGAGAAAGUAAUGGCCAUUCUGAGAACUGAAAGUUUGCACAGUGCACAGAGGGCAUGAAGAACGAAGGAAAGAGAUUUUUUUUUUUUUUUUUUUGCCCAAGAUGGCAAGUUGCUUAAAACCUAAAGCUCCUUUCAAUUCUUUACAAUCCAAGAUUAUAUGGAAUGGACUGGGAACAAAGAGAGGGACUGGCAUUUAAAGUCUUUUAUACACUUUGGAACAAAUGUUAUUCUCCAUUCAUCCUGACACUAAAUUGGUUAGCCAAACCCAAAGAUCUACUAAUAAUCCUGCUUUGGCAUGGGAGAAUGAGUGAGAUAAGGAGGCAAUAGAGGAGAUGAAUCGACAAAUGGAAGGAAUAGAAUUCUGGUUGAUGUCCUUGUCUCUAAGCUGUAGCAGCAAGUAUUUAUCCUAAUCAUGUGGUGUUAGCACGGAGAUGAGAAAGAGAGAAAGACAACAUCAUGCUUUGCUGUCUGUGUGUGAACUGAGUAACAGCUGUGAAGGAUCAGUCACCAAAAGACUUUGAAAGAAGAGGCUUGAUUGGUCACGGUAAUGAUGCUCCCCUGGCCAUGGAAGUUUAAUUGGGAGAAAAGAACAUCUGCUUAUACGAAAACAUAUUAUAUUCAGCCAUCCCUGCCCUGACUUUGGCCUUUAAAAACAGUGGCAUUAAUUAUCUCAACAAAUGAAUCUUCGGGAUAAAAAUAAUCUAAAUAUUAUUUUACGCUUACUACAUAUUUGCAACGUGCUAAGCUCUUUAUGGUUGCUACCACAAAAAACAUUUAUAAUAUGAGGUUGUUUCCGUAUUUUGGCUAUUGUGAAUAGUGCUGCAAUAAACAUGGAAGUGCUGAUAUAUCUUUGAGAUCUUGACUUCAAACAAAAGAAGAAAAUCUUGCAAUAUAUGACAACACGGAUUAACCUGGAGGACAUUGUGCUUAGUGAAGUUAGCCAGUCACAGACUGACAAGUACUGCACGAUUCCACUUAUGAAGACUACAGUUCCUAUCUUCACAGGUGGCUGUUAGCUCUAAAUGAACUCAUUUAUUUUGAAAGCAUGAUUUAAAGUAUAGUUUUAAACUAUAAGCAUUUCAGAAGUGAUGACCCAUGACUCAAAUCUCAAAAAUAAAUGCUACAGUUCACAGUUGGAAUAUGGACACAAGAAAAAUAAUAGAUGAUGCCACUGAAAGGUAAACAUACCAUUCUGACAUGCAUGAAAAUGAAACGACAAAUUGAUACACGCAGUGCUUGGAAUGGAUGGAGUCCUUCUAAUGAGUGAUUACCUGUGGUAUAACUAUAUUGAUUGUGUUUGUACAUGUCAAAUGGGGCUGGCGAGGAUGAACUUGAAGAAAUCAAUCUUGGAACCUGCUAGGACAGCAGCCUCCUGGUUUCACAGUACUAAAUCAUGACUUCAAAAUUUUGAAGUAAAAGAAAACUGCAAAACUUUGUAAAGGUACCAGUCUCUUCCUGACACUAUUUGCCUUGGCAAAAGAUUCACUGUCAACUUAAAAGACUAACAUGUGCUCAGAUGAUGAUUUGUGGAGGACAGAUAAUUAUGAGUACAUUUAGAAAUACACACUCUUCCAAACCCUGCUCUUUCCAUAUAAUGAAGUUAUUUAUUUCUAUUUUUUAUUUAUUUUUCUAAUAAUUACAAACAUACUUUGGAGACCCACAUUCCUGUAUUAUUCUUUCAACAUACUGAAGAAGAGUUAUUUCUAUGCUUCUUUCUAUGUGUUGGGCUUAAGAUUUAUUAGAAGGAAUGUGUAAAAACAAAGGCAGCAAAGUUUCUAUUUUUAUUGGGAGUCACUCCCGGAGUAAGUGGGGAUAGUUGUGCACACACACACACACACAUUCAUGCACAAAGAAAGAGUGAUCAAGUGUAUAACACACUUUUAGCAGUGUUUUGCUGGAAGAAUAAAGUAUAACUCCUUGUCCGCCCUUUUAUUAUACUGGGGUUCACACUAAGAGAGUCUGAGGACCUGUGGAACUCCCAUUUGCAUGAAAUAACUUUUGCAUCUAUUCUGGAGGAAAACUUCCUAAGGCAGAUUUGGACAGAAAAUUGCUAUCAGCGCAAAUAAAACAAUGCAAAGCCUACUCCGGGGAACGUUGCUCUGCCACCACUACUGAAAUGGGUCAUCCCCUUGGUUUCUGAAUAAAGAAUUAUGAAACCUGGGGCUAGAAUGCUCAGGGAGGAAUUUACCAAUCCAAAUCUUCCCCUUAUGGUAGAGAACAAACUUUCAAGGUUUGUUCUCCACUGUAAGUGUGCGAGGGCUGUUAGGGACCGUAAUAUGGCUGCCGGAGACUGGUGUGUGUACCUCCUUGACUGUACGUCUCAUUUCCAGUUAUGAUUUUACAAUCAUCUCUUUCUCAACCUUUGCUUUUAAAUAUAGGAAGGUACGGCUCACCAUGGAGCGGACAUUUUCUUCAGGAGCGGUACGGUGUCUAAGAUAUGCAGAGGUUGUAUUCUAGUCCUAUAACUCAAUUCUCAAACACAUGGCUUUUAGCCAGGGAUAUCCUAAAGGAAAAUUACACUAUAUGCAACCCCUCCUUACUCCUCAAAUAUUAUCUAUAUUAAACACAGCUGAAAUUUGAGAGUGUCCUUACAGGUGAAAAUUUAACAAUUUAACAAAAGGACACUGCUGAAUGUGUGGGGACAAAGGAAGGAUGAAUCUUUCAUCAUGACAAAAGACUACUUGCCACAUUCUCCCUUAACUUAGAAAAACA